rnacentral:tRNA from 1 species
GCUUUUAUAGCUUAGUGGUAAAGCGAUAAAUUGAAGAUUUAUUUACAUGUAGUU